rnacentral:rRNA from 1 species
UGAGGAAUAUUGGUCAAUGGCCGAGAGGCUGAAACCAGCCAAGUCGCGUGAGGGAAGACGGUCCUAUGGAUUGUAAACCUCUUUUGUCGGGGAGCAAAAGGCGUCACGUGUGACGCUAUGAGAGUACCCGAAAGAAAAAGCAUCGGCUAACUCCGUGCC